rnacentral:ncRNA from 1 species
AGUUUAUUAUUAAAAUAUAGUUAAUUAAAUAUUUAAUAAUAAAAAAAAAAAAAAAAAAAAAGUAAAAUCAUUGCUUAAAUAUUGAUCUAAAUAUUAUUUUUAUGACGUUUAUUAUAAGUUAGUUAAUAAUUUUUGUAGUAGAAAUAUUUGUUAAAAUUAGUUAAAUUUGUGCCAGCAUCUGCGGUUAGACUAAGAAUUUGGUUAAUAUUAUUUAGAAUUUAUUACGCGAGUAAUUUUAAGAAUAAUUUUUGGUGGAAUAAUUUGGUGAUUUUUAAUUGGGCUAGUUAAAGUAGUUUUAGUUAAAAGUAGGAUUAGAUACCCUGUUAUUUUAAUUUUAUUUUAUUCUAAGGAUUAAAGUUAAAUUUAGAAGAUUUGGCGGCUAAAAUAAAUUAAAGGGGUUUGUUUUUUUAUUUGAUGUGACUCAUUAUUUUGUACUUAUUUUGUUUAGUAUAUCGUCAUUUAGGUAGUUUAUAAUUAAUUAACUACUGUAAGGAGUUUAAGUAAAUUAGAUCAAGAUGCAGAAAUAGAUAAGGAGGAAUUAACUACAAUAAUGUACUAUUAAACUUGCCUUUUUUAAACGUAAGUUGCAGGUGGAUUUAAUUGUAAUUAAAAAGGUAUGAAAAUUAUUUUAGUGUACAAAUUGCCCGUCAUUCUCUAUGAGACAAGUCGAAACAAAGUAGGGCUAUCGGAAGUUGGGCCUA